GACGAACGCUGGCGGCGUGCCUAAUACAUGCAAGUUGAGCGCUGAAGGUUGGUACUUGUACCGACUGGAUGAGCAGCGAACGGGUGAGUAACGCGUGGGGAAUCUGCCUUUGAGCGGGGGACAACAUUUGGAAACGAAUGCUAAUACCGCAUAAAAACUUUAAACACAAGUUUUAAGUUUGAAAGAUGCAAUUGCAUCACUCAAAGAUGAUCCCGCGUUGUAUUAGCUAGUUGGCGAGGUAAAGGCUCACCAAGGCGAUGAUACAUAGCCGACCUGAGAGGGUGAUCGGCCACAUUGGGACUGAGACACGGCCCAAACUCCAACGGGAGGCAGCAGUAGGGAAUCUUCGGCAAUGGACGAAAGUCUGACCGAGCAACGCCGAGUGAGUGAAGAAGGUUUUCGGAUCGUAAAACUCUGUUGGUAGAGAAGAACGUUGGUGAGAGUGGAAAGCUCAUCAAGUGACGGUAACUACCCAGAAAGGGACGGCUAACUACGUGCCAGCCGCCGCAGUAA
rnacentral:rRNA from 1 species